ACCAAUGCCUCAGAACCUGUGACUCAGUUUUGGCUGGAGGUAGGGGACCCAGGCCUGGAGGAGCCAAGCUGCAGUGAGACUUCAAGGCAGCCACACAGUCCACCGCCAGGGUUCAACUGCACCUCCUCAGCCUCAGCUGAGCACCAAGGUUGUCUUCUUCAGGAAUGAGCCUGUGUUUUUAUACCUUCUUAUGAAUAUUCAACUCAGACCAUAAACAAAAUGAGGAGCCUUGCUGGUGAGGAUUUGAACUAGAGA
rnacentral:lncRNA from 1 species